rnacentral:misc_RNA from 1 species
UCCCUAUUAACUAGGGCAGUUUCUUGUGACAUGUAUAACACAAGAUAAGGGUUGCGCUCGUUAACCGACUGAACGGGACACUUCACAGCACGAGCUGACGACAACCGUGCAGCACCUGUCAUCUGGUUCCUUGCGGCACGGCUCUGUUUCCAGAGCUUUCCAGAGAUGUCAAGCCUUGGUAAGGUUCUCCGCUUUGUGACGAAUUAAACCACGCGCUCCACCGCUUGUGCAGGUCCCCGUCAAUUCCUUUGAGUUUUAAGCUUGCGCUCGUACUCCCCAGGCGGCCAACUUAACGCGUUAGCUUCGGUCCAAGAAAGGGUCGAUACUCUCCAAGACCUAGUUGGCAUCGUUUACGGCGUGGACUAC